rnacentral:rRNA from 1 species
UACGUAGGGCGCAAGCGUUGUCCGGAAUUAUUGGGCGUAAAGAGCUCGUAGGCGGUUUGUCGCGUCUGUCGUGAAAGCCCACGGCUUAACCGUGGGUCUGCGGUGGAUACGGGCAGACUAGAGGCAGGUAGGGGAGAAUGGAAUUCCCGGUGUAGCGGUGAAAUGCGCAGAUAUCAGGAGGAACACCGGUGGCGAAGGCGGUUCUCUGGGAAUGACCUGACGCUGAGGAGCGAAAGUGUGGGGAGCAAACAGG